CUUCUUCGGCCUGCUGAGGCGCAAUGAAGUGAAUAUGCGUAUCGAUGCCGCCGGCAGUGAGAAUUUUGCCCUCACCGGCGAUUACAUCAGUCGCAGGUCCAACGACAAUAUUGACGCCGGGCUGAAUAUCGGGAUUACCAGCCUUGCCGAUCCCCGAGAUACGGCCAUCCUUGAUGCCGACAUCGGCUUUGAUGAUACCCCAAUAGUCAAGAAUGAUGACAUUGGUGAUGACCAGAUCGGCUGUUUCGGCAGAGGGACGCUGUCCCUGCCCCAUCCCGUCGCGGAUG
rnacentral:sRNA from 1 species